rnacentral:rRNA from 1 species
CGCUCUGGAGACAGAGCUUCCNUUCGGGGCAGCGGUGACAGGUGGUGCAUGGUUGUCGUCAGCUCGUGUCGUGAGAUGUUGGGUUAAGUCCCGCAACGAGCGCAACCCUUAUUUCUAGUUGCCAGCAUUCAGUUGGGCACUCUAGAGAGACUGCCGUCGACAAGACGGAGGAAGGCGGGGAUGACGUCAAAUCAUCAUGCCCCUUAUGACCUGGGCUACACACGUGCUACAAUGGUUGGUACAACGGGAUGCUACCUCGCGAGAGGACGCCAAUCUCUUAAAACCAAUCUCAGUUCGGAUUGUAGGCUGCAACUCGCCUACAUGAAGUCGGAAUCGCUAGUAAUCGCGGAUCAGCAUGCCGCGGUGAAUACGUUCCCGGGCCUUGUACACACCGCCCGUCACACCACGGGAGUUUGCAACACCCGAAGUCGGUGAGGUAACCGCAAGGAGCCAGCCGCCGAAGGUGGGGUAGAUGACUGGGGUGAAGUCGAACAA